UACGUAGGGUGCGAGCGUUGUCCGGAAUUAUUGGGCGUAAAGAGCUCGUAGGCGGUCUGUCGCGUCGGUCGUGAAAACUUGGGGCUUAACCCUGAGCUUGCGGUCGAUACGGGCAUGACUGGAGUUCGGCAGGGGAGACUGGAAUUCCUGGUGUAGCGGUGAAAUGCGUAGAUAUCGGGAGGAACACCAGUGGCGAAGGCGGUUGCCUGGAGCUUUGCUGACGCUGAGGCGCGAAAGCGUGGGGAGCGAUCCGG
rnacentral:rRNA from 1 species